rnacentral:misc_RNA from 1 species
GAAUACACUGGACGCUCUUUUUAGAGGUCCGACCAAUCAUUUACCUUCACACUGUGCACACACUUCUUUUUCACCCAUUUUAAACACCUUAGUAUAAGAAUGUACCAGUCUCUUAAUUGAGCAUAAAUAUAUAAUAAAACUUUCAGCAACGGAUCUCUUGGCUCU